GUUAGCGUGGCAGAGCUCGGUUAUGCAAAAGAUCUAAGCCCUUUCAACCGGGGGUUCAAAUCCCCCCACUAACU
rnacentral:tRNA from 9 species